rnacentral:rRNA from 1 species
AUUGAACGCUGGCGGCAUGCCUUACACAUGCAAGUCGAACGGCAGCACGGGAGCAAUCCUGGUGGCGAGUGGCGAACGGGUGAGUAAAGUAUCGGAACGUGCCCAGUCGUGGGGGAUAACGUAGCGAAAGUUACGCUAAUACCGCAUACGAUCUAUGGAUGAAAGCGGGGGAUCGCAAGACCUCGCGCGAUUGGAGCGGCCGAUAUCAGAUUAGGUAGUUGGGGGGGUAAAGGCUCACCAAGCCGACGAUCUGUAGCUGGUCUGAGAGGACGACCAGCCACACUGGGGCUGAGACACGACCCAGACUCCUACGGGAGGCAGCAGUGGGGAAUUUUGGACAAUGGGCGAAAGCCUGAUCCAGCCAUGCCGCGUGCAGGAUGAAGGCCUUCGGGUUGUAAACUGCUUUUGUACGGAACGAAAAGGUUUGGCCUAAUAAGCUGAGCUCAUGACGGUACCGUAAGAAUAAGCACCGGCUAACUACGUGCCAGCCGCCGCGGUAA